CAACUCUAGAGAUAGAGUCUUCCCCUUCGGGGGACAAAGUGACAGGUGGUGCAUGGUUGUCGUCAGCUCGUGUCGUGAGAUGUUGGGUUAAGUCCCGCAACGAGCGCAACCCUUAAGCUUAGUUGCCAGCAUUAAGUUGGGCACUCUAAGUUGACUGCCGGUGACAAACCGGAGGAAGGUGGGGAUGACGUCAAAUCAUCAUGCCCCUUAUGAUUUGGGCUACACACGUGCUACAAUGGACAAUACAAAGGGCAGCUAAACCGUGAGGUCAUGCAAAUCCCAUAAAGUUGUUCUCAGUUCGGAUUGUAGUCUGCAACUCGACUACAUGAAGCUGGAAUCGCCAGUAAUCGUAGAUCAGCAUGCUACGGUGAAUACGUUCCCGGGUCUUGUACACACCGCCCGUCACACCACGAGAGUCUGUAACACCCGAAGCCGGUGGAGUAACCAUUUAUGGAGCUAGCCGUCGAAGGUGGGACAAAUGAUUGGGGUGAAGUCGUAACAAGGUAGCCGUAUCGGAAGGUGCGGUUGGAUCACCUC
rnacentral:rRNA from 1 species